AACCCUUGUUAAGGAACUAAGCAAAUUAAGUCCGUAACUUAGGGAAAAGGACUGCCACUGGUUGUGAGGACGACUAGCUUGUCUGAGCGAUUGGUGGUCGCAGCGAAAUGGCUCUGCCGACUGUUUAACAAAAACACAGGUCUCUGCGAAAGCGAAAGCUGACGUAUAGGGGCUGACGCCUGCCCAGUGCCGGAAGGUUAAGGGGAGAUGUGAUGAGCAUUGAACCGAAGCCCCGGUGAACGGCGGCCGUAACUAUAACGGUCCUAAGGUAGCGAAAUUCCUUGUCGGGUAAGUUCCGACCCGCACGAAAGGCGUAACGAGCAGAGCACUGUCUCAACAAGGGACCCGGCGAAGUUGAAAUAGCGGUGAAGAUGCCGUUUACCCGCAGCAGGACAAAAAGACCCCGUGGAGCUUUACUGUAGCUUGACAUUGAGUUAGGGCUUUGUCUGUGUAGGAUAGGUGGGAGGCUGUGAAGCUGGUCCGCUAGGAUCGGUGGAGUCGACGUUGAAAUACCACCCUGAUGGAGUCUUGGCUCUAACCUGUGGCCCUAAUCGGGCAUGGGGACAGUGUCUGGUAGGCAGUUUGACUGGGGCGGUCGCCUCCUAAAGAGUAACGGAGGCGCCCAAAGGUUCCCUCAGGCUGAAUGGAAACCAGCCGUAGAGUGUGAAGGCAUAAGGGAGCUUGACUGCGAGACAAACAAGUCGAGCAGAGACGAAAGUCGGGCUUAGUGAUCCUACGGUUCCGAGGGGAAGGGCCGUGGCUUAACGGACAAAAGCUACCCCGGGGAUAACAGGCUGAUCUCCUCCAAGAGUUCACAUCGACGAGGAGGUUUGGCACCUCGAUGUCGGCUCGUCGCAUCCUGGGGCUGAAGUAGGUCCCAAGGGUCCGGCUGUUCGCCGGUUAAAGCGGUACGCGAGCUGGGUUCAGACCGUCGUGAGACAGGUCGGUCUCUAUCCGCUGUGGGCGAAGGGGAUUUGAGAGGGGCUGCCCCUAGUACGAGAGGACCGGGGUGGACAGACCGCUGGUGUACCAGUUGUCUCGCCAGAGGCAUUGCUGGGUAGCUAAGUCUGGCAGCGAUAACCGCUGAAAGCAUCUAAGUGGGAAACGCGCCUCAAGAUGAGAUCCCCCACUGUAAAAGGGUAAGUGCACCGGGAGACUACCGGUUAGAUAGGCGGCAGGUGUACGCACUGUGAGGUGUUGAGCCGAGCCGUACUAAUGCACGAGGACUUAAUCCA
rnacentral:rRNA from 1 species